rnacentral:rRNA from 1 species
AGUGAACGCUGGCGGUAGGCCUAACACAUGCAAGUCGAACGGCAGCACAGUAAGAGCUUGCUCUUACGGGUGGCGAGUGGCGGACGGGUGAGGAAUACAUCGGAAUCUACUUUUUCGUGGGGGAUAACGUAGGGAAACUUACGCUAAUACCGCAUACGACCUACGGGUGAAAGCAGGGGAUCUUCGGACCUUGCGCGAUUGAAUGAGCCGAUGUCGGAUUAGCUAGUUGGCGGGGUAAAGGCUCACCAAGGCGACGAUCCGUAGCUGGUCUGAGAGGAUGAUCAGCCACACUGGAACUGAGACACGGUCCAGACUCCUACGGGAGGCAGCAGUGGGGAAUCUUCGACAAUGGGCGCAAGCCUGAUCCAGCCAUACCGCGUGAGUGAAGAAGGCCUUCGGGUUGUAAAGCCCUUUUGUUGGGAAAGAAAAGCAGCAGGUUAAUACCCCGAUGUUCUGACGGUACCCAAAGAAUAAGCACCGGCUAACUUCGUG